AUUGAACGCUGGCGGUAGGCCUAACACAUGCAAGUCGAACGCGAAAGUCCUUCGGGAUGAGUAGAGUGGCGGACGGGUGAGUAACGCGUAGGAAUCUAUCCCGUAGUGGGGGAUAACGUUUCGAAAGGAACGCUAAUACCGCAUACGCCCCAAGGGGGAAAGCGGGGGAUCUUCGGACCUCGUGCUAUAGGAGGAGCCUGCGUCGGAUUAGCUAGUUGGUGAGGUAAAGGCUCACCAAGGCGACGAUCCGUAGCUGGUCUGAGAGGAUGAUCAGCCACACCGGAACUGAGACACGGUCCGGACUCCUACGAGAGGCAGCAGUGGGGAAUAUUGCGCAAUGGGCGAAAGCCUGACGCAGCCAUACCGCGUGUGUGAAGAAGGCCUUCGGGUUGUAAAGCACUUUCAGUGGGGAGGAAAAGCUGGUGGCUAAUAUCCAUCGGCCGUGACGCUACCCACAGAAGAAGCACCGGCUAAUUCCGUGCCAGCAGCCGCAGUAAAAC
rnacentral:rRNA from 1 species